UACGUAGGGGGCAAGCGUUGUCCGGAUUUAUUGGGCGUAAAGAGCGUGUAGGCGGCCUGUCAGGUCUGUUGUGAAAACUCGAGGCUCAACCUCGAGAUGUCGGCGGAAACCGUCUGGCUAGAGUCCGGAAGAGGAGAGUGGAAUUCCUGGUGUAGCGGUGAGAUGCGCAGAUAUCAGGAAGAACACCUAUGGCGAAGGCAGCUCUCUGGGACGGUACUGACGCUGAGACACGAAAGCGUGGGGAGCGAACAGG
rnacentral:rRNA from 1 species